CCCUCAGGAACAGACUGUUGCCGUGGCUGCUCAUCGCGUUUCUGCCGAGGAAAGAGGAGACCAGGUCUGGUGAGGGAGGAGUCCGGGAAAGGAGUGGGUUUUUCGAGACAGGGUUUCUCUGUGCAGCUUUGCGCCUUUCCUGGAUCUCGCUCAUCUAGACCAGGCCAGCCUCGAACUCACAAAGAUCCGCCUGCCUCUGCCUCCCAAGUGCUGGGAUUAAAGGCGUGCGCCACCACUGCCCGGCGCUUGCUGUUCUUUGAAAGGACGGCAGGUCGGGUGGCUCAGAGCCAGAGGGUCCAACUCUUUCUUCUGUCUCUGAAGUCACCUGAACUCAAGUGCACAUAGCUACACGUGAAUACACAUAAUUAAAAAGAUAAAAAUAA